AAAAUCAUCCUGAAAUAGGGGCUUCUCAGCAGAAUCCAAGAUUUUCGGGGUGGAAAUUGGAGAUUUCCUCAGUAAAACAUUAUUGAGUUACUGAAGUGACAAUACUUCACUAUGUUUGCUGGAAUUCAAAUGUUACCAGAAAGAGUUCCCGAUCCAGACCCC